rnacentral:rRNA from 1 species
UACGUAGGGUGCGAGCGUUAAUCGGAAUUACUGGGCGUAAAGUGUGCGCAGGCGGCCGCGCAAGUCGAGUGUGAAAGCCCCGAGCUUAACUUGGGAAUUGCGCUCGAAACUACGUGGCUGGAGUGUGGCAGAGGAAGGUGGAAUUCCACGUGUAGCGGUGAAAUGCGUAGAUAUCAGGAGGAACACCAGUGGCGAAGGCGACUUCCUGGCCUGUUCUUGACGCUGAGGCGCGAAAGCUAGGGGAGCAAACGGG